UAACCGAUUUGGUCCGACACACAAGCGACGGUUGAUUGACGACCAUUCGAUAUAUAGUUGGUAUUUGAUCGAUUAGAUUCUACAUGGGAUCAAACAAUAGUUAUUCAGCACGAGCAUUAACUACACACGAAUGUGGAGCGCAAUAGUUGUCCAUAAGCAGCCCAUUACUCGAUCUUAAUGGCAGUUAAUGAGAUAACCGCCCACUAAAUUUCUUAACUCCCACGUUCUGAGUAUUUAGGGAUAGGGGUUACAUAGUAACGGCUUUCCUAGCUUUUUAUAAAGCAGUAAGUUAUGGGGGACCAGAUGAGGAAUCUUUUGCUUAUUAUAAUUUCUGGGCUUUCAUUUUGGCUCUCUGACUGUUCCCUUUCUUCGACUAACUUAAGCAUCGGAGGGCUCCAUGCCGAACAACUUUCGAUAAGAGGACUUGUUUUGCAGAUUUUCUGUCAUUCAUCGUUCAGACGCAACAACUCAACUUCCGAUCGACGAACUCGUUGAAGACAAGCUACAAUAGUGUGGUGCACC
rnacentral:lncRNA from 1 species